rnacentral:lncRNA from 1 species
AUUUAUGCACAAAACCUAACAAGUUUCAAUAAGUAUAAAAAUACUACAUAAUGAAAGAAAACUGUAAAUUAGUAGUGAAAUCAAAAUAGAAAACAUAAAUAUUGAAAUAUAAUGAAAAAAAUUUGACUGGAAAUUAUAAGAGGCACUCAUCCUGUGUCCAGAAGUCCACAGUAUCUCAAGUUUCACGAGAGUCUAUUACCCAUGUCUCAUAAGUCUGUGAAACCUCAUUAUCAGUGUAAGAUGUUGUGCAGAUGCUUCUAGGCGUAGUUCCUGAUGGAAGAGAUAUCUACACAUUGAAGUAUGGGAAAGUUAUUCUGACUUAUACAUGGUUUAACUUAAACUUUAUGCUUACCAAAACAACCUAUUUUGUGGCUUAUUAAACAUGCAUUAUAUAUCUGUUUUAACCAUUGAAGAAAAUGAUGCAUUGUCCAGAAGUAAAGGAUGUCUAUUUUAAAAAUAGAAAUAAAUGCAUUCCUUCCUGGGACAUCGACACGAAUACUCCUUAGAUGUUAAGGCUCCCUUCCCAGGUGUCAAGGCAGUACUGACUUGCAGUGUCAGCUGAUCUGUGUUUUUUGGAAACUUUGAAGGAAUAUACUCCUGUCAUGUUUGAUGUUCUUUGUUUUGACCAGAUAUAAAAGUGCUCAAAACCAUGCUUCUUUUGAACAGUUUAUUAUAGCUAUCUGAGAGGCUGUCUUCCAGGCUUUAGUCCUUGGUUUGACUCCAAUAAAGCUCUCUUCUGAAGUUCCCAUUAUGCCUCAAUAAGUUAGGGACCUGAUGUAGUCUCCAUGAGGAUGCAGGUUCAAUCCCUGGCCUGCCUCAGUGGAUUAAGGAUCAAGUAUUGCCACAGGCUGAGGCACAGGCCUCAACUGAAGCUCCAAUUAGACCUCUAGCCUGGAACUUUUGUAUGAAGCACGUGUGGCCAUUAAAACAAAACAAAACAAAACAAACAAAAAACUUCUUUUCUAUUUUUAUCAUAUAUUGAUUAUUGAAUUAACACUUUAAUACUCAGUCAUCCUUUCCAGAUCCUUAUCUUCACGUAUAUUUUAGUCUAAUAAUUCCUUGCUUUCUUAUCAGAUUUUUAAUGUUUGAAAGAUUUAUGACUUUUUUUAAUCAUUCUUAGUUUUUCAGCUGAGAAACUGACAUAAACACCUAAUUCUCUUUUAUUUACUUUUUCUUUUGAAUGGUUAUGGAAUUUAAGAAUUAGAAAUUUACCCAUUAUCGCUUAGUUUCUGUAUGUAUUUAUUUUUGAUACUUUUGUUAUUUCCUGUUUGAAUUAUCAUUCGCUAUUUAAAUAUUUUAUUUGGUAGUUGUCUGAAACUAUACUUUGGACUUUUUUCAACCCAUCCAUUUUUUUCUUUCAUUGAGCAUUUAUACUUUUCCAAAUUGGUAUCUCCCAUUUGUUCAUUUUUAUCUGCCUGUUAUUUCUUGCUUCCCAUUUUCUCUUAUUUUUCUCAGUAUACUCAUUGUCAUUUGCUUGAAUUUGUGCCUUGACUGGUCAUUUAAUUCAGCCUACCCUAUAUAUUAGACCCAACACCUUCAUCUAAUCAGAACCUCUUGUCUGCAUUAUCUCUGAGUCCCUUGACUAAUUGCUCCAUUUCAGCUGCCUGUCUGGUGGCAAGUCUUUUUAUCCAUUCUUCUUAGCUGUCCAAAAUGGACCAUCUGCAUACCAGAAGUUUCUGACUAUUCCAGUGACUUCUUCACUCAAGUGAAAUGCCACAUCCAAAGGCAUAGUGUAUAAACUCUUAAACAGUUGGUAAAAAAAAAGCCAGGUUAUGGAACCUUGUGUGGAGAGUUGGCUUCCUACAGGUAAAUGUUUGAUCAAUAGAGAUAGAAAAGAGCCAGUACAUAAAUCACUACUCCCUUCCUUUUUCUGAUCAAAUAUUCUAAGAGCCCAUAUGAAACCUCAUAUAGAGGGACCAGAGAGUGAGAGUACCAAGCAUAGCCCUUUCAUAGUUUUGUGAGACACUGACCAGGGUGGAAAUGCACUGCCUUGUGUUUACUUCUUGCUCUCACCCACUUUCUCUCUUCCUUCAUUCUUGCUGCAUUGAAAUUGCACUUCUUAUUAGGAAGUUGAAGUAUUGCUUCAGGCUUUGUUUUCUUGGAAGCCUGAACUAAGACAAUUAGAAGUGUUUCUAAAAAACAAAAUCCCAGGCUAAGAUUUUGGAGCCUGAUUACUUACACAUUUGAGAGCAAUAUGGACUCCCAAGCCCUGGUAAAUUGGAUAGUAAUCUGUCAUUCAGCAACAUUACAAUUUCUUAAGCUCAGAAGUGAUUGAUUAAAAUGAGGCACAGGGAGUUCCCAUCAUGGCUCAGUGGUUAACAAAUCUGACUAGGAACCAUGAGGUUGCGGAUUCGAUUCAUGGCCUUGUUCAGUGGGUUGAGGAUCCAGCAUUGCCGUGAGCUGUGGUGUAGGUUGCAGAUGCAGCUCAGAUCCUGUGUUGCUGUGGCUCUGGCGAAGGCCAGCAGCUACAGCUCUGAUUAGAGCCCUAGCCUGGGAACCUCCAUAUGCCGUGGGAGUGGCCCUAGAAAAGGCAAAAAGACAAAAAAAUAAAAAUAAAUAAAAUAAAAUAAAAUGAGGCACAGAUGGGAGUGAGGUUUUGAGGGAUCACACCUAUUAGAAUGGCCACGAUCUGGAACACUGACCACACCAAAUGUUGGAGUGGAUGUGGAACAGCAGGAACUCUUAUUCAUUACUGGCAAGAAUGUGAAAUGGUACAGCCACUUUGGAAGACAGUUUUGUCCAAUAUUUUUAGAGUUAUGAGAAAAACAAAAUACAUAUGCCCAUAUAGGCUGUGAAAUAUACAUUGUGUAAUUUUAGUGACUCCACAAAGGAGUUAAAUGAUCUCAUAUUUGUAUUUAAAGCUGUGAUUGCAUAACAUAAAGAAGAAUGGGAAAAUUCAACCCAAAAUUUGAAUAUUUAUUUCUUUAUUUGAUUUGAAUGAAUUAAGUAGAAAAUAAGCACCCUAACAAGUACAGAGCUAGACUGAAGAUGAAAGGAAAACACCAUAUAUUUUAGUACGUUUAGUUUCCCUCUACUUUUUGAAUCAGGGGUUCUGCAUUACAAAUUAGGCAGCUGGUCCUAACUGUAUAUGUAUCUGCUCCUUCUAUAUGUACAUCUUACUUAAGUAUAGGAGUUUUUUGCAGUCUCUCCCCCAGCCCCACCAAGAACCAGUCAUUGACUCCUUAAGGGUACUGUCAUACCCAUUGAAAAUCCAUGUGUUAAUGCUUCCACCAAUAUCUGUAGCCAUUUGCCAGAAUAGGAGAACAUUUUGAGGACUAUUUGGUAUGGGGUCCAAGCUAACACUGACAUCAGAGACAUGGAAUGCCAUUUUUGUCCUCCGAGUUGAGGAGGAACUUAUAGAGGGUAAAUGGAUAAACCAACAUGGCCAGUAUGAUAAUGCAUCACAUUGUGUUUGCUUUCUACACUUAGCUGCCUCACUUCUUUUUGCCAACACUCACAUUGCACUGAGACAGAUUACACAUUACAGUAGUGUGAGAACAUAAGUUUUGUCCCAAAUUCUGUUUUGUAAGGGACUCCAUUAUGUAUUACUUCGUUUCCUAUUUGUUUCUGUAGAGCUUGAAAUUUCACUGGUGAUACAUUAUUUUCCAUCUUUACCUCAUAAAUCUUUGCAAUUUUCAAAUUUUAUGACCAAUAAUAUUACCUCAGGGAAGGUGCUGAGCCCUAUGACAUAGCUUCACUUCCUGGUUAAAACAUGGGGUGACGGGAGAGCUCCAGGAAAAGGAUAGAGAUUGCAUUUUGUUUCAAGCCUUGGAGGAUGUAAAAAAACAAGUUCUCAGGUGUGGGCCAGCUUACCUACACUUGCUACAGUGAUGCUAGGAUCUAAGGAUACCCUCAUGUUUCCCUGCCAACCUGGCUGUGGUCUUGCAUUGCUACUCUCUCCACCUGGAAUUAGGCAAAAUAGGCAAUGUGUAACAAAGCAACAGGGAGGAAUGGAAAGUGUUUGCAUCCCCUUUUCCAUCAGUAACUUUUUCUCCUUUUCUAAGCUGCUCUUAUCUCCCAUAUAUUCUGCUUCCUUAGGGGGUUCUUCUCCCACCCCUUCAUUUAUUUUAAUUGUUGCUAGAUUCUGGGAUAUCAGAGUCUCCCUCUUACUUUUGUGGAAACACUAGGGUUGGGUUAUAUAGGAGAGACCACAUUAGUUUUUCAAAAUGAAAAGUCAUUGAAUUUUAAAUUUGUAGCUAUCAAAGCAAAGGGGCAGUGCAAGGUAAUUUAUAAUGCCAUGCUCAGUUUGUUUUUCAUUUCAGGUUUUGCUUUAUAAAGACAGUUCAUAUUAAAAUGAACUUAUUUUUGACUUAGUUUUAUAAUUAGAUGCUUCAUGGUUAAACAUUAACAUAUUUCCACUGUUAUGACAUUAUAAUACAAUUUAAUAUCAACUAAAGGAAGGAAGAUUGCUUGAUUAAUGCUUAGAAAGUUAAUACUUGCUCUUUCAAUGUAAUAUUGUAGCAGGGAGGUAGGUGACAGGUUAAGUACAAUUCCAUUUCAAUGUAAAAUAAUUAAGUAAUAUUAACUGUAUAAUAGUAAAAAUUGAGCAGAAAAUAACAUGCAUAUACCUUUUUAAAAAAUACUUCAAAUCCCAGUAUUAAUACCUGCUAUAAACACAUUAUAUGGGGAGAGGCUAUAAUAAAUCAAAACAAUUUUCAUUUAUAUUGAUGAUAGUUAAACUUUUAAAACGAUAUUCUGAAGGGAAGCUUUUAAAAAAGGAAACAUGAAGUAUUAACUAUGGAAUGUUUGAUAAAUCUUGUUUUAAAAUGUGUUUUAAACCACCUUGUUUUAUCACAAAUCCUAAGUAUAAAGCAUAUGCAGGAAGCAUACAUCUUAUCUAAGAUUAACAUUUGUCCAAGUAAAUAAAGGAAACCUUACAUACACGUAUAACUGGGUCACUUUUCUGUACAGCAGAAAUUGACAGAACAUUGUAAAUCAACUAUAAUUAAAAAAUAA